ensembl:snRNA U1 U1 spliceosomal RNA
AUACUUACCUGGCAGUGGAGAUACCAUGAUCACGAAGGUGGUUUUCCCAGGGCAAGGCUUAUCCAUUGCACUCCGGAUGUGCUGACCACUGCGAUUUCCCCAAAUGGGGGAAACUCGACUGCAUAAUUUGUGGUAGAGGGGAAUGCGUUCGUGCUCUCCCCUG